UAUUCGCAGUGGAAGUGUUUGUGGAUCAAGCGAUCUCUGCGUGUCAACAAUGCGAACACAAUGUCAUUAGGCCGGAGUACCAACCUGGACCCUUGUAUUGCAUAUAUCGAAAGUUUUGCCAUGUGUCUUUAAAGUUUUAGAGAGUUUCAUGAAAUUGGAUAGCCUCUAAAAGCCGUAUAUGUGUGCUACGCGCUUUGAAGGGGCUAUUAAAAUCUUUUAUGUUUUGUUAAGUUCUAGGGUGAGGAAAAUAGGGAAGGAUUUGAGGAGAUACAGUUGCACAUUGGUCUUUAAGUUUUGAAUAUGAAAUGAGGGAAGAACAGAGUUGACUGAAGAAGAUACUACCCUGUAUUCAUAUUGUAAAUAUAUUUGUUUGAAGAAUCUUAAUGAUUGUUUAUGUAUGUUAUUCAAUACUUGCCAUUUGUAGUCCAUUUAAUUUUAAACUUACUUUGCUUAGUUAAUCGUUACAUGCCUCUAUUGAAAAUAAAUAUUUUUUCUUUUCAAUUCAUAA